rnacentral:rRNA from 1 species
AACGAACGCUGGCGGCAUGCCUAACACAUGCAAGUCGAACGCUACCGUCGGGUCUUGUUGCGCAGGGUGGGUUACGGCGGGGGAACUAGCCCGUAGGUAAGCUAUAACGUCCCGAGGGGUAAGCUAAUACCACGAAAUCUCAUCCGACAAAAGAUUUAUUGUCUUUGGAUGGGUCCGCGUUAGAUUAGCUUGUUUGUAGGGUAAAAGCCUAUGCAGGCGACGAUCUAUAUGUGGUCUGAGCGGAUGACCAACCACACUGGGACUCAGCCACGGCCCAGACUCCGACGGGGGGCAGAGGUGGGGAAGAGUGGACAGUGGGCGAAAGGCUGAUCCAGGGAUGCCGCGUGAGGGAUGAAGGCGUAAGGGUUGUAAAGGACUUUUACGCGGGAUGAGAAAGAGAAUACCGGGAGAAUAAGCUCCGGAUAUAUGCG